UCGGUUUUUUGUAUCGACCUUUUGAACAUCAUUAUUAUUCGUUGGAAUCGACUUCAUUAAUUUCAUUAUUUUAAUUUGGAUGCUUUCAUUUGCUCUCUCAUCUCACCUUGGUUUGCCUUCGUGCAAGGUUAUCAUGGGGUCAACCCCCAAAAAAAGCAAAAUCUUGCUUCAUUUUUUUCUGUUUUGCUGUUUACCUUUUUUUCAGUGCUUCUACUUUUUUUUCAUUUGCUAUAUUUUACCUGUUCAACAAUACAGGUUAUCAAUUUGAGUUAUGCAUCGGUGUUUUUUGGGUGAUUUUCAAGGUUGUCAGGUUCAUCAUCUUUAUCGCAUCUAUCCUGUUGAUAUUAUGGUUGUGUGCAUCUGUUGAGACAGUUUAUACAACCUUUCUUGUCUUUUGGUUGGCGUUUUUUUUUGUUUGUCUUCUUCUUUUGGUGUCUCUUUAUUUGUGUAUUUGCAUUUCGCUCAUUGCUUUGCCUAACAAGUGCCAAUAAGAGUAUUUGUGUGUCUGCCAUUUAUGAAUGAGUUUUGUGUGCUUUGUUGGUAAUUAACUUGAUGGUUAAAUGCUUUUUUGGUGACUUGGCUUUGCUAAGCUCAAGUACUUGGCGUAACCUUGUUGAUAGGUUUUCGAGGUACUAUGGUUUAAUACACAGAAUUUCAAUGCUUCAACUUGCUGGUGACUCUUAAAGGACCUUUUUCAUUUUGCUCUCACUUCAUUGCCAAUGAUUAGGUUCAUUUGUUGUUUAUUACAUUAUUGUGAUGAACAGUUAAAAUUGAAUCAACGCUUUUUUAUUGUUUAUGGGGAGGAAGAAGACAAUGACAAUUAACAUCAUCCUUUAUUACAGUUGAAGUCUCAAAGAAUUGAAGGUGAUUUGAUUUUAAAACAAUUGAUUCGCAAUACAAGUUGAGAUAAAGGAUAAAGGCCAAAAAAGAUGAGAAAUUGGAAAAUAUCAAAAUUUAUUGUUGUAAAUUGAUUGAUUAUAAUUUAAUGGCUGGUUCCAACAAAAAGCAGUGUUAACACAGAUUGUUGAUUAAAAAGACCAUCAAAUUUA